rnacentral:sRNA from 1 species
AUUAAAAAAGAGUAAAAUCGUAAUAUGAUCGGCAAUAAUUUUUUAUUAUAACUCGAUUACCAUAUCCAUAGUUAGAUCCAAUAUGGACUGGUCUGGAUCAUUGUUGAUUCAUUUGCCGAGAUUUCUUAAACAAGUCUCAGAUUCAGAAAAUUUUUGAUGGAUAAAGACCAUAAAAUGAAUGAUCGGUCUAUAUGGCAGCUCUAUCUAAAUGUGGUCCGAUCUGGACUAUAUUCUUGUCGGAUGACCGAAGGCUUAACACACCUCACUGGCUCGGUUAAUAAAUGUAGCAGUUAUAUGCUCAAGACAGUAUAUCAAAAUAUGGUCCGUUCUGAAUCAUUUUCAUUUUAGUUGCAGGCAGGCUUAAUACAACUCACAAUUCCUUAUUUCAGCAAAAUAUACGCAGCAGUAAUGGGCUUAAGACCUUAAAUCUAUAGAUUGGUGUAUAUAGCAGCUACAUCGAAAUGUGGGUCGAUCUAGACCAUAUUCUGUUCGAAUGGCGGGAAGCAAAAAACAACUCACUGAUUCAAAUUUCAUCGAAGUCGGGUAAUAAAUACGGCUUUUAUGGGCUUAUGACCAUAAAACGACAAAUCGAUCAAUAUGGCAGCUAUAUAUAAAUAUAGCCCAAUCUGUAACGUAUUUGGCUCAGAUGACAGGAAGCUUAGUACAACUCAUUGCUUAAAAUGUCAGCGUAAUCGAGCAAUAAAUACACAGUUCACUGUUUCGAAUUUCAUGGAAUCGGUUUAUAAAUGCAGUUUUUAUGGACGUAAGACAGCUGCAGUAUAAAAGCGAUAUAAGCACAUCGUGUAUAAAAAUAAGUUUUUAAGGAAAAACUAAACACUAGGUCUGUUUAGAUCCUUCAUACCAAAAUGAUUUGAUAUAAGAAACAACUCUUAUAAGAAACAAACGUAUAUAAGAAAUAUAUUUUAACGUUGAAGCUGUAAACUCCACUCCGAAAAAAUGUCUUUAAGAACAUUUUAGUUAUGAGAAACUGUCUGCGUCUGGACAUAUGGUUUGACAAUAAUUCCAUAGAAAAAACAAAACAAACACAUUUGUAGAUCAAAAGCGAGUUGUCAUGUGAAUAUUCAUAAAGGAGUGAAGGAACUUUCACACAUUUGUAUUUUAGUUCGAAACCUGCGGGCUCAUAUUCUGUAUGUAGAAAUAUGGACACUACUUAUAUAAGAAAAAAAUUCUUUUCUGUAUAAGAAAUUAGUUUUCUAUAUGCAAUAAUUCUGCAAUAGGAAAAAACAUAUAUAAGAAACAAAUUGGGAAUUGUUUGGUCUUUCCAAUAUCGGUUAUCUACUGUAUAUCCAAAUAUAGUCCGCUUUGUACCGUUCUAGAAUUUAAUUUGCGUCUUAAAGCAAUACAGACCUGUGCAAAGUUUCAGCUGAAUAUCUAGCGUGAUAAAAACAGACAGACGGGCAGCUACAUGGACAUUUUGGUUGAUCAAGAACAUACAUAUAUUCAUUGCAGGGCCGGAAAUUAUUGAAUAUAUCUCCUAUCCAAUGGGGAUGGUGGGUAUCAAAACGAUUGAAUCAAUUUAUUUUAUAUGAAGCUAGUUACUUAAAACAUCAGUACGGAGUUUGAUCUGAACCGAUCCAUAGCACAAAAUAGUUACCACGAUUUGGUUUUUUUUUUUUUUGCAAAUUAUGCGCUCCAUUACCAUCAUAAAUACAGUUAAAACUUCCACCUGCACUUGAAGUUUUUACCUAUACAAAAUUCUAGGAACGUGACAAUUCGACGCAGGGUGGUAGCUAUAUAAAGUGGGCACAAUCGUGUUUGUAACUAAUUGUUAUUUUUUGCUUGAUUUUGCCCACACUAGUAGUUCAAUUUCAUUGGCAAAUUCUCAAAGCACAGUUAAAAUAAUCAAUUAAGGAAGAGGUGUUACACAUACAACUAUAAUUACAUGCUCCAUUGUAAACAGAAUGUAAUAGAUUGUGGAGAUAAGGAAUGGGUCAUCGUUUCCUAAUCGGAUCACUUUAUUAAUAACUGAGCGCACAAAUCACGCAAUUUCGUCACAAGCAAAUAUUCCCCAUAGUGUAGUGAUUUGUUUGGCCGGAUUUAUUGCACUCAUAGAUCUAUUGUUAAGACCGUUUCAAUUAUUGAGGGGAAUAACAAUGUUCAUUGUUCGCAGAUCCAUGCAUAAAGAUCUUUUCUUUAUUUAUGAAUGGCAUUGCUAAAACAGAUGGUGCUCCAAUUUUCGGUAUUGACUGGUCUGAUGAAUGAGGUAUGAAUAUGGAUUGAGGUAACGACGCUGUUCAACAAUGAAGACAAAAUGUCGGUAAUAUCCGAAAAUUCGAUGAAUACUUCAUAGCCAAAGCUUUGGACAAUGGCCAAAAUUGCAAAUGAAUGACCAUGUUGGUCGGCUUAACUCAGCUCAGACUUAAGACCAGUGACCACUUCUACCUUUCUUUGUUGAGUCUCAUGCAAUAAACUAACAAGCUAUCAAUCUUAUAUAAA